CCCUCCCUCUCCCCAACCCGACCCGCCUCCCUCCUCUGCACCUUCACCACCGGCCAUGUCCGCCCCCACCGGCCAUCCCCUCCCAUGGGAGAGACUAGCCGCCUCCUCCCGCACUCGUGCGAUCCCAGCCCCCAUCCCUAACCUAGCUCCUCCUCCCGCUCACGCCGCCUCCUCCUCCCCACCCGCGCCUCCCUCUCCUUCUUCCCUGCUGCCACCCAGCCUCCUCCCUUCACGGCCUCCUCCUUCCACCCCUCCGAUCUGAGAAAAGGAGAAGAAGGGGUUGGAUGAGCAAGAAGCAGAAGGACUAGAACAAGAAGAAGGGAAGGGAGGUGGGGCCAUAUGCAUGUCCAUGGAGCAGAGCAGGCGAGGAGGGAGACUAGGUCGCGCUCUCUCUGCCUUUGUCUCGCGUGGGGAGGAGUGGAGGCUGCGGCUCGCACUUCUUCUCCUUUGUGGACUGCAGAAUGGACGGGCGAGACGCUGCUCCUCUUGUCACGCGAGGGUGACAGUCUGGUCCCGUCCAGGUUAACCCACCAGGAAGAUGUACUCCUCUUUGGCGUAAUGGGACACCAGACAAGCCAGUUCUCUGCAAUGCAUGUGGUUCGAGAUGGAGGAUAAAGGGUACAUUGGUGAAUUACACACCGGCGCAUCGUCGGGAAGAUACUGACGCUGGCGAAGCUGGACCUGACAAGCUGAAGCUCAAUGGACAGAAACAGCCGAAGAAACGACCAAACUGCACUACUGCAGCAUAGUGAAGGAUGAACCACGGUCUGAUCAGAGCUUCUGGAAGAUAGGAAAUGCGGACACAAGCAAUAGAUUCUGUUUUGGAUCAGUGGUGUCAUAUUCAGAGAGUUGUGCCCCGUAUGGUUCUAUUGAUGCAAGUGAAAUAGCCGAAAUUAGAAGAGUGAGUGAUGGUUUGUACAAAUGUUUACGGUAUCCUGUCAAUGAGGGAAUGAGGGCAUGUAAAUUGGCGCUUAUCCCUCGGCCGAUCUGUUUUUGCUCGAUGUGCGAGCAGCCCGUGCACCCAAAAUCGACCCAUGACGAUUCAAAAUCUUAUCCAAAGGCAGCAGCCGGAGGAUGGAAACACGGAAGCAGUAUUGUAAUGCUCUAUUGAAAGGUGUAUGUUGAGCUCUGAAGGCAAGCACGACCAUCACACUUUUGCUCCUGUGGUAGGCAUGUAGGCAUGUCGUUUGACUCUUGCCAAGAAGCGUAUGAGCAGUACAACCUGUUUGCUUGGGAAAAUGGUUUUGGUAUUCGUCAGGGAAAAUCUAGAUGGGGCGAAGGAUGAUACCAGCUGAUGAACGAAAUCGCCUAUCAGUGUCAGGUACUAAUCGAUUUGUACUCAUGCGUAGUGAUUACUUAAAGGAAUCUAUGAGUUCCUGCAAGAUGCAUCUCCAGCAUUUCUUGUGCAGAUAAGUUCCUACUCAUAUUUCCCCCUUGCAUAGCAAUCGACUUAUUUUAGGAACAUUAAUAUCAUUCAUUGGCCUAUGAAUUUCUCACAUAAUUUCCUGCUUUACUGUUCUGGUGAACAUCCUUUUUAAAUAUUUUUGUUUCUUGAUACCUCGAAACAGUAGUUUAAAUUCUUUUCCACGAAUCUGCGUGUUGCUGUCUUGGUGAUGGUAAUUAGUCAUGGAUAGUUGCCAUUCUGAAGUUCCUUGGUUCAGAUAUGUGCGGUUUGGCAAUGAUUUUGCCUGUUCUUUUUUCUGUUCAAAUAUAUACCAUUUGGCAAUGACUAGAUUCAAAGAUACUGGCCAGUCCUAUGUAAUGGUACAAGCGCCAUUUGCAGGCACUCGAGGUAUGAGUGACAUGCCCCCCUCACCUUUGACGUCCCAGCACGCUCCGUCGCAUUUUCUGCCUUUUGGUUAGCAUAAUGGUGCUCUUCUUAGGACAGGAUUGGUACCAGAAAGAUUGUUUUUUGCAGCAUUAUUCUGCAAUGUGCUCAAUUUAUUUGGAACUGGGUGAGUAGAUGAAGUGAUUCGGCUUAGCCUCCUCCAGCUAAUUUAGGUGUUGGCCAUCCAUUAUUAGAUUGUACGAAUGGAAUAGAAGUAAUCUUUGUGAAGUCUUAGCUUUGCCCGGUUCAUUCGGCACCCUUGGAUGCAAGGAUUUUUCCAAAUUCAUGAUACUAUAUCCUCUGAAAUUGACUUUCGAAAGUAGAGCUCUGUAUUACGGGUGUUGGCUGAUGCCCCGAUGCAUAUUUUUGGUUGUGCCCUCAGUUGGUCAAUUAUUUUUAGGACAUUGUGAGGGGAAUGUGUGGGCACUCGUAGACAUCCCAAACUUUUGCAACAAGCCAAGCAAGAAUUGAAAUAUGAAUGGGCUGCCACAAGUAAUUAGAUACGAAUGAAUGCUUCUUGCUUGAUUAGAUUUGUUGACGAGGAAUAGGACUCAACUCACGCCACUUCCAUUCAUCUCGUGCUGCAUAUAUACAGUUUACAGGAGCAGUUCAGAGAGAACGUGUGAGAGCCACUAGCUCCACUAACCCACGAUGCAAAGCAUGUCUCAGAGAGAGAGAGAGAGAGAGAGAGAUCAUGCGGUGACUACGCAUACAUACACACACCAGUACGUAUUCUGCUAACAAGAUUGAUACAUCUCCUCUCCUUAUAUAGAGAGGUUUACUUGACUCCUAAGCAAGCGACCCUUAUCUCUAAUUAAUCCUAAUCCUCCUAAUAAGAUAAUUGGGCUAAGCCCCUAAUAACGAUAAGAUAACUUGGGCCACAACUCACUGGGCUAAGCCCCUAAUAUGCCGGUCAUAACAGUUAGUGAAUCAUGGUUCUGAUUGUGCACCUUUUUUGGCUUAGAAAAAUAUAGCAAUUUAUGGUUACUUCUUAAGUUUGGUUAUCUCAAUUGGGUGUCCUUGCUGCGUUAUGGUCUGACCGUGUGUGUGUGUGUGUGUGUGUGUGUGCACGCGCGCGCUCAUGAAGCUUCUGUUCUCCAUGGAUGAACCUCAACAGGCAACAGCAAGCCAUCUCAAGGGAGGGGAUUCUCAAGUCACCCCACUUCCAAUCCAUCGAUGCCAUCCACAAGGACCAAGAUGACGAUGACCAGGAAGGAAGGAGCCCACGCCCGACCCCUACGACGAUGGUUCUGUUUGUGCGCCAGCGACGACCACAACCUCCCUCUCCGCCACAGGACGCUACAGGGUUAAAGGAUAGUUUUCAUCAAGAAUAUGCGCAUUGAGAUCCACACACACGUCAGUAAAUCAAGAAACUACAUAUGUUCCUAUCUGGAGGCACCCAUUGUACUGCAAGCAAGACACUGAGUUUGGUUUCAGGUUCCUCUCAAAAGAUAUCAGAUAAAGCCGAGGACAAUUAGAGAGUUCCAUGUCAUUUAUCCAAAUGAAGAUGAUAAUGAGAAAUUCCAACAUUAUGCUUUCCCGUUGAAUAUAGCCAAAGAAGCAAAUUCUAGCAGAGAAGCAAAUUUUGUAGAUUGAAGAACUUUAGGUUGACAAGCCUGCAAAAGCAUGUGUUAAUUGUGUUCUUGAAGCCGCCGGCGAUCUGUCCAUGGACACGGACCUGGGCUGUCGCGGCUUCACCCACACCGAGUGCCUUCCCAAUACGUACGACCAACCAACACAAAGAUGACACAGAUUGGUUAUGCAGGAUCUCUUGGUAAUGAAACUCUUCCCUUGGCUGUACCUAAUCUUGUAUGUUCCAUUAUUUUACCUUUUGAGUGGAUUGCUAUAUGGAAUACCAUCUAUUUCUAAUGAAUUUAUAUGUUGCUUGCUGCCUUUUUUAAUUAGAUAGAUCCAAUAACUAUACCAAUGAAUAGAUUUUUUUUGUGACUGAUAUAUAAUUCAGUGAUAUAAAUGCUAUAUAUUUUGUAUCUGAUAUGCAAGGUUACCUGAAUCUCCUCGCAUAUUUUUUUUGUGUUCGUUUAUUUAUAUGGAAAAUAGCCUACUUAGUCAAUUUUGGUUUAGCCCUGUAUGUGGUUUGCUUACUCAAUAUUGACCUCAGUGUCACUAUGCCUGCUUCCGAAACUCUAGCACUGAAAUAUAUGCUCUGUUACUCUUAAUCAAGAUGCUUUUGUACCAACUUUAUGCCAUGCUGCACUUACUCGGGCUAAAUCCUUGUGCUUUAUCAUGAGGACAACAAUAGUGGUUACUUCUCAUCUGAGCUUGAGCUGUGGUGAAUGCGACCGAUGUUUCGACCGCAUACGAAGAUGUAGUUCUUUUGGUUUAUCAGCCAAUAUGAUCGUAUAUAGACGGGAUGCCUGUACAGAGGCGUUUUGAAUUAGUAUGGUAGCAGACUAUCCUAUCCUUAUUGUAAAUUAUGUGUGAUCAUCGCUAUGAGACACUCCUUUGGAUGGAUUUACCAUUCCAUGGUUAUUGUAAAUUAUGAAUGAAUUAUUCUGUAGUUUUAGUAUUGGUUCUCUAA